rnacentral:rRNA from 1 species
UGAGUGAUGAAGGUUUUCGGAUCGUAAAGCUCUGUCUUCAGGGACGAUAAUGACGGUACCUGAGGAGGAAGCCACGGCUAACUACGUGCCAGCAGCCGCGGUAAUACGUAGGUGGCGAGCGUUGUCCGGAUUUACUGGGCGUAAAGGGAGCGUAGGCGGAUGAUUAAGUGGGAUGUGAAAUACCCGGGCUCAACUUGGGUGCUGCAUUCCAAACUGGUUAUCUAGAGUGCAGGAGAGGAGAGUGGAAUUCCUAGUGUAGCGGUGAAAUGCGUAGAGAUUAGGAAGAACACCAGUGGCGAAGGCGACUCUCUGGACUGUAACUGACGCUGAGGCUCGAAAGCGUGGGGAGCAAACAGGAUUAGAUACCCUAGUAGUCCACGCCGUAAACGAUGGAUACUAGGUGUGGGAGGUAUCAACUCCUUCCGUGCCGCCGUUAACACAUUAAGUAUCCCGCCUGGGGAGUACGGUCGCAAGAUUAAAACUCAAAGGAAUUGACGGGGGCCCGCACAAGCAGCGGAGCAUGUGGUUUAAUUCGAAGCAACGCGAAGAACCUUACCUAGACUUGACAUCUCCU